rnacentral:rRNA from 1 species
UACGAGGGGUCCUAGCGUUGUUCGGAAUCAUUGGGCGUAAAGGGUGUGUAGGUGGCUAUGUAAGUCAGGUGUGAAAGCCCCGGGCUCAACCCGGGAAGUGCAUCUGAUACUGCGUAGCUUGAGUACCGAAGAGGAUCGCGGAAUUCCCGGUGUAGAGGUGAAAUUCGUAGAUAUCGGGAGGAACACCAGUGGCGAAGACGGCGAUCUGGGUUGAUACUGACGCUGAGGUGCGAAAGCGUGGGGAGCAAACAGG